rnacentral:lncRNA from 1 species
GGAUGCAGCCAGGCUUUGAAUCUGCAAGGCCAUUCAAUGCUAGUGAAGGUGGCCAAUGGCAACAUUCCCAUUGGCCUCUACCUGCCAAGGGUUCUUUUUCCCACCCUGGACAUUAUUCCACAGGGAUAUAUAUAAACCACACUGGCCUAGUUUCCAACAGACCUCACCACCUCUGAGGAUGCCAGCCAUAGAUGUGGGCGAAACGUCAGGAGAGAAUGCUUCUGGCACAUGGGCAGGCAGCUGGAAAACUCACAGGAACGCAAUGAUGCCAUUUGUUUCUGGGAUAGUUUCUUAAGCAUUGCCCAUCAGAGAGUAGUAGCAUCCCUCUCUGAGGUUCCCCCCAACCCUGGCUGAGUCCCUGCCCUCCCUUUGGCUUCUCUGGCACCCCCGAGCAGGGCCAGCCCCCCCUCCCCCGCUCCCUCUCCCUCCCUCUACGUGGAGUUCCCCACCAGGCCUGUCCCUGCCAGGGACCCCCAGGCCGAGGGAGGCGGGGAGGGGGCUCUUCGGGAGGAACAGCCUCGUGGGGGUCCUUCCCGCAGUGCUGCUCCUUUAAGGCCAAGCCCCGCCUCUCUUUGGGCGCCUGCCUCCGCCCCCAGGGUGACGUCACGGCAAGGCCAGCCCCGCCCCGAUCCCUUGGAAACAGGCAGGCAGAGGGGAGGGGGGCCUCCGCGGGCGGAAGUGAGGGGGCGCUUCCGGUUGGGCCCAGCCGAGGGAGAGGCGCCAACUCUUCGCGUGUUCCUCGGGAGCCUCGCGCGGACUCAGAACCCGGACCCUUCCCCCGGCAGAGAAGGCUGUCCUGCGGAAGGAGGGAGGCUGCAGGGUGGGAGUGGCAGAAGAGGCUCCAGGCUGAAGUGGAAAAGAACCUGCAGGUGCAGAAAGGUGACUUCUGAACAAGUUCUGCAAAGAACACAGCGUGAGAGCUUUGCCCGAGGAGUGCUCUAAGUCUAAAGUGACUUCAAGAUACACAGCAAUGACAACAAGAAAAAAUAAGUAGUAGAAAAAUAUAUUACAAGCUACAACCCUAUGCAGUUAAGAGGAGGAAAGAAGAUUGUGAUGAAAAAAAAAGAGGCUUGGAAAGCGAGCAGAAGGCUACAGCAAUACAAAGACUGUGCUGAUCGGGAGGUUAUAUCUGUGAACCCCUGGCAUAAUAUU